AUUGAACGCUGGCGGAAUGCUUUACACAUGCAAGUCGAACGGUAGAGGGGGCAACCCCUCGAGAGUGGCGAACGGGUGAGUAAUAUAUCGGAACGUGCCCAGUCGUGGGGGAUAACGUAGCGAAAGUUACGCCAAUACCGCAUAAGAUCUAAGGAUGAAAGCGGGGGAUCGCAAGACCUCGCGCGAUUGGAGCGGCCGAUAUCAGAUGAGGUAGUUGGGGGGGUAAAGGCUCACCAAGCCAACGAUCUGUAGCUGGUCUGAGAGGACGACCAGCCACACUGGAACUGAGACACUGUCCAGACUCCUACGGGAGGCAGCAGUGGGGAAUUUUGGACAAUGGACGAAAGUCUGAUCCAGCCAUCCCGCGUGCAGGAUGAAGGCCCUCGGGUUGUAAACUGCUUUUGUACGGAACGAAAAGGUCUCUCUUAAUACGGGGGGCUCAUGACGGUACCGUAAGAAUAAGCACCGGCUAACUACGUGCCAGCAGCCGCCGUAA
rnacentral:rRNA from 1 species